rnacentral:lncRNA from 1 species
CAAACAUGUAUAGAAAUCCCAGCACUGGAGAGUUGAUGAGAAAGUGGGCAGAUCGGCUCUAUUCACAGCUGGGGGAAACUGACCACUUUAACAAAAGGAAGAAUGCUCAGAAGAGUGCUGAGUGAUAGAUUUGAAAUUGGACCCCUGACAUCAUGAAUAGCAGAAGUUAAUAUCUAAUGCAGCCAAAAUGCUGCACAGCUUCCUGGAACCCUUAGCACCAAAGACCACCAUGCACUGAGGAGCCACCUGCAGCUCUCCACACCAUGAAGUGCAUAUGUACCCCUCCUCUCCGCAUCUCGCAUGACCCAGCCCAUGGUGCUAAACUGACUGAGCAAGAAGCAUCCAGAGCCUCUUCUGCUGGACGCAUGGAACACACUCUCAAGAGAUGCAGCCCAAAAUAGGACUCUAUGGUCAAUGAAAUGGAAUGGGAAAUGCUGCACCGUGUAUCCCCUUUCUAAGGAUCCAUGAUGUUUAUUGUUGUUGUUGUUGUUAGUGAAACCUUUUAAACAACCUUCAGGAAAAUCAUCCCUGUUUUUCGCAAACUUUCUAACCUUUCCCCAUGAAGAAUUUUUUUUUUUUUUCAUGAAAUGGAAUUUCACUCUUCUCGCCCAGGCUAGAGUGCUCACUGCAACCUCUGCCUCCUGGGUUCAAGCAAUUCUCCUGCUUCAGCCUCCUCAGCAGCUGGGAUUACAGGCGCCCACCCCCACACCCGGCUAAUUUUUUUGUAUUUUUAGUAGAGACUGGGUUUCGCCAUGUUGGCCAGGCUGGUCUGGAGCUCCUGAUCUCAGGUGAUCCGCCCGUCUCAGCCACCCAAAGUGCU